AGCUCCAAUAGCGUAUAUUAAAGUUGUUGUGGUUAAAAAGCUCGUAGUUGGAUCUCAACAGACUUGGAUCGGUUUACUUUGUGUAAUACUGAUCCAAAGCUGUGCUUUUGUCGGAGGUUUAGGGGUGCUCUUAACCGAGUGUCUCUGAGUGCCGACAGGUUUACUUUGAAAAAAUUAGGGUGCUUAAAGCGGGCUGUUAUGCUCGAAUAUUUGUGCAUGGAAUAAUAGAAAGGAUGUUGUUCUUAUUUUGUUGGUUUUUUAGACUUGACAUAAUGAUUAAUAGGGACAGUCUGGGGCAUUUGUAUUCAACCGACAGAGGUGAUAUUCUUGGACCUUUUGAAGACAAACUACUGCGAAAGCAUUUGCCAAGAAUGUUUUCA
rnacentral:rRNA from 1 species